AAAAACAAUGACUCACAAAAUGUAUUUAUACAUACUUUUCUGUUACCUAAACAAAAUAUUCCAUGUUAAAUUAGUUACAUGUCAGUCAUUCUCACAAAGUGCAUUCCAAUUGUUUGAUUCUAUUCCCUUCUAGUUUGUGUUUCCUCAUGUCCAUGUUCUGUUUUUUUGCUCUUCUCAGCAAUUUCUUUUCAAUCCAUCUUGUGCAUUUCCUGCAUUAACAUUGGCAUUGAUCUGAGAGUUUUUGUUUUUUAGAUUCUUUUAAUACUUUGCUUUUAAUAAGAAUAUAGUCUAUAUAAUACUUUCCUUGUAAGGUGCAGAAUUAGCACACCUUUCAUCUUCUAGAUUUGACUAAUUGCUCAUAAGACAUCUUCUUCUAUUAUACCUUGGAAGAAUAGCCAUCCUUACCUCUUGCCCAAACUGUCUUCUACCCUGGCACUUCACUUAGCUUUCACCAGCCUCUUACUACAGACAUUUAUUUAAUGCCAAAUCACUUGUUCAGAAAUGAAUAAGAAAUAAAGACUUACUCCUCAGACUUUCAGUUUCAGACAAGAGAAAAAUUCUCACUUAAUUUUCUCUUGAUGUUCUCCUCACUUGCCUGAAUAAUCCAAACUCUAAUAUCCCUCCGUGGCUGG
rnacentral:lncRNA from 1 species